CAGUCUGGAUGUGUAUUUUCAUC
rnacentral:miRNA from 14 species